rnacentral:misc_RNA from 1 species
CCAGUGUGCAAGCAUAGGGCCCUACACA